rnacentral:lncRNA from 1 species
GGGAACAGCCCUAGAAAAUCCAAAAAAGACCAAAAAAAAAAUAAAAUAAAAUAAAAUGUAAAAGUUGAACUUCAAGAUAUUUUUUUGUUAACUACUCAAUAUUAUUUUACCAAAACUUGUAAAUGGUCUCUACAUCUAAAAGCAGCCACAGUAAUCAAGAAACACUGAUGUUUCACUGCUCUAAGUAAUUAAUUAGAACUAGAAAUUUAUUUAUUCAUUAGAACCUAAACUUACUUAAUGAAAUUAGAUGCUCUUUACCAUAUAACAACCAUGGAACAAUUUCCUCUUUAAACUGUCUCCUUACCAGUAUGAAAAUCAUUCUCCCAGAUAGAAGUAAAACAGGAUUUGAGUAGUUGUCAUUAUUUAAUAUAAUCUUCCCAAUCAAUGGGCCUCUUUCUUCCUUACUGAUCUUGUGCUAAAGCCCUUCUUGUCUCAAGCAUUUUUAGGCUUUCUUUUUUUUUUUUUUUUUUUUUUUUUUUUUCUGCCUUUUAGGACCACACCCGCAGCAUAUGGAGGUUCCCAGGUGUGGCCCUAAAAAAAGAGGGGGGGACCACCUAUCAUUCUUGAAAGGUAUUCAGAUCAAUACAAAUGCUAACUGUAAUCUUCCAGAAAGCAAGCAACUUCACCCAACAGAGAACCCUGUAUUUCUCAAUAUCAUCAGAGAACUAUUUCUCUUAAUUAUCUUUUCUUUCUCUUUUCCUCAUUCCGUCUUCAUACAUGAGAUUGUGAAUAGCCAAUUAAGUGAAUGAAAGAAUGUUUCUUAGGUCUAAACACUACCAUUCACAUCACUUUAAAUCCUGCCAAUCAAGUAAACUGAUCUGAGCGAACAGAAAUUAAACUAAAAUACUAAUUUUUUUUCCAUUUCUUACAAGUAGAAAAAAAAAAAAAAAAAAA